rnacentral:lncRNA from 1 species
AUGGAGACACCAUACGAGGCCUUGGACCGUUUUCCUCCGGGAUUGAGCAUCCUUUUCACCGUGACUUAUAAAGGCUCUUUGAAAACUGAAGAAGCUCGACACUAUGCCUUUCUAGUUUAUAGAUACAACAUUCUAGUUUGUCAUUACUCUUUAGACUCUGUCGCAUUCUCCCAUGCAGCUUUUGAAAGACUAGAUGAACAAAUACAUUGAUUAUAUUUUUAUGACUUCUGAUUUUGUUCCUCGCUUAGCACAACUUCUUCACCGCAAAGGAUAAGUUCUUGUGAUUUAAAAUAUUUUAUGCUUAAAUCACUAAUCCACUAAGCACUGAUUUUAGUGGGGAAAGAAAUAUUUACUUUUAACGUUAUAGGCAUUUUUUUUUCUAAAACGAGUGAGCAUUUGCUUCUAUAAUUUAAAAAGUCCAGUAAAUCAAAAAAGACAAGGAGGCAUUAUGGCCCACAGGAUGAAGCCUGGAGGCAGAAAGGGCAGACUGCUUUAAUAGAGGUGUUUAGUCAGUACGUUGGCCACCUGUAAUUAAUCAGGUCCAGUACUAGGUCCUGAUGACAUAAUAAAAGCGCAGAUUCAAGAACUGGUGAUGGCAAUUAGGAGGAGCAGCAUUGAUGGAGGUGUUUCAGACCGCAGAACAAUCACCAUGGCAACGAGAGCCUGCACCAUCACUAUGGAGUUACAGCGCUUGAAAUUAUGGCUGGCGAAAGAGUGUGACAUUGUUGGUGAGGUUUUGAAAAAGGUGCACAGGCAUGUUAUAGAUGUUUCAAAACCAGGCUUUUUAUUUGCCAGACUGUGGCUUAUCGUCUCCCUUUCCCUUAGUGUUCUCUUUUGGGGAAACUAGAGACAAACUACUUAAAAAACAAUGCAGAUUAUAAACAAGACCUAGCUUGAGAAAGUCAUUGUGGCUCAUGACUGUCCCAGUGAGGGAACAACAAGCAGCUUUUGACUCAAAGAAUUACUGUGUCAUAGAACAUACAUGACAUAUGCAGUGAGUGUCCUUGUGCCUUGAAGUUCUGAUCUUGCUGCUCAUUGGAGAGCCUGUUUUUGUCCGUAGCCUAUAGACCAGGCUGGCCUUGAACACAGAGAUCUGCCUGCUUCUGCUUCUCAGAAGAUGGGAUUAAAAAGAUGUACCACCACCUUUCUUCUUACAGCAGCCACAAGAUUUCUGCCCAGCAUUUAAAGCCAAGAAGAAACUGACACACUUGCAUUUAGGGCUUGGUUUCAAUGGUAAAAUUUGAACAGGUUUUGAAUUAGCAGGAGGGUCCAGCAUCUUGACAUUGCAAAAACAUGUUGCCAUCUGCAGAUUUCUUGGGUCACAUUGACAGUUUCCCCAGGUCACAAACAGCCCCUGGGCCCCAGGUGGGACAUGCAUACUGCUUAUUUUGUUAUGUGGCAGAUUUCAUUUUUUAUGAAUACAAGUGAGGUCACACUUUUGUGGCCCCCUUCCAUCUUCUCUUCCUUCACUGGAAACCUCACUUUGGGGGACACUAGGGGCUUGAGCAACUCCAGGGCAGGGUUCAUAGAGGCCCCGUCAGUCAAAGACAAUCCUUAAACUUCUGCCACCAUGUUCUGGGUCCUGCUCCCUCCUGUCCCUGUGCCCUCUGUCCCUGCCAUUGCUGCCACUAUUCCUAUACCGUUCAGCUGCCACUUCAGCCUAACAACUAUUGCCGCUUCUCUCUUGUAAGCCCGACCUUGGACUCUGCCCUGAUUCCCCAGCACAAAUCAAGACUGGUCCAUCACAUUGAGAGAUUUAGCUGUUCCUAAAUCUCAUGGACCUGAGGUGGAAGAAGGCCAGCGCAUGAAGGUUUUUGGUUUUCUUUUCACUAUGCCUCUCCAUCCACAGAUGUCACUAAACCCAUAACCUUCUAACUUAGUACAACACAGCUGCUGCAAAGGCACACUUCCUGUAUUCUUUAAAAGUUUCCAUUCUGAUUAGGAAACAGUCAAGCGCAUCACUUCUCUGAGGGAGAACCUUCCUUCUUCAUUUUGGAGUUAACUAUUAAGAUACGUGAAUUUUAAAGAUCUGGUAUAUAUAAGGGCGGCUGAAGACAGCAUCCGCUGCCCUGACUACAGCGCACCACACCAUCUCAUCUUGCAUCAGAGGAGUCUGUGAGAAGCAUGCCUGACCAUCUCUAGUAGGCUUCACAGUAGAACAUAGGAGAUCCUGUGUGGACUCUAGAGCAAGCCAGCUUGGGCCAAAGCACAGCCCUAUCAGUUCCUAGCUGUGCACUGGUGGGGAAGCGUCUUAAUCCCCCGUGACUGCUUAGCAGUCCCUGUGAACUAGGAACAAUGAUAGCAUAACCUGCUCCACUGGGCUGUGGGGAGAGCCGAUCAAUCACUACCAAACCCACACAGCUGAUUUUCUAUAUCUGGGGGGAGGGGGCCCUCAUUCCACAGAUUCUACCAACUUGACACUUUAAAAAGUAGGAAUAAAUUGGCUUCUUUCUUAUUUAUAUCUCAGUUGUUCAUUUCUCUUACUCUUUGGUCAGUGAAGACACUGUAUUGAGGAAGAGUGAAUCAGGCUGUGAGCGUCCUUACCUCCUCCUAGGCUUGAAAGGAAACGUUCUCCCUUCCCCAACUCAGUACCCCACUGGCUGUAGGUUUGUUUUACAUAACCGUUCUUCUGGUGAAGUAGGCUUCUUCUGUUCUUAGUUUCUUCAAGGCUUUUAUCAUAAAGGCAUGUUAAAAUUUAUUGAAGUUCUUUUCUGUAUCAAUUGAACUAAAUAUAUAAUUUCUAUCCCUAAGACUGUUUAUGUGCUGUCUUAAAUUUAUUGUUUGCUUGUGAUAAGCCAAUCCAUGUAUGCUUGAU